rnacentral:rRNA from 1 species
AGAGUUUGAUCCUGGCUCAGGAUGAACCGCUGGCGGCGUGCUUAACACAUGCAAGUCGAACGAAGCACUACCGACGGAACUUUUCGGAGGGAAGAUGGUAAUGACUGAGUGGCGGACGGGUGAGUAACGCGUGGGCAACCUGCCCCAUAGAGGGGGACAACAGCUGGAAACGGCUGCUAAUACCGCAUAACAAGGAGAGAGCGCAUGUUCUUUUCUUCAAAGAUUUAUCGCUAUGGGAUGGACCCGCGUCUGAUUAGCUGGUUGGUGAGGUAACGGCUCACCAAGGCGACGAUCAGUAGCCGGCUUGAGAGAGUGGACGGCCACAUUGGGACUGAGACACGGCCCAGACUCCUACGGGAGGCAGCAGUGGGGAAUAUUGCACAAUGGGGGAAACCCUGAUGCAGCGACGCCGCGUGAGUGAAGAAGGUCUUCGGAUCGUAAAACCCUGUUGUUAGAGAAGAAAGUGCGUGAGAGUAACUGUUCACGUUUCGACGGUAUCUAACCAGAAAGCCACGGCUAACUACGUGCCAGCAGCCGCGGUAAUACGUAGGUGGCAAGCGUUAUCCGGAUUUAUUGGGCGUAAAGGGAACGCAGGCGGUCUUUUAAGUCUGAUGUGAAAGCCUUCGGCUUAACCGGAGUAGUGCAUUGGAAACUGGGAGACUUGAGUGCAGAAGAGGAGAGUGGAACUCCAUGUGUAGCGGUGAAAUGCGUAGAUAUAUGGAAGAACACCAGUGGCGAAAGCGGCUCUCUGGUCUGUAACUGACGCUGAGGUUCGAAAGCGUGGGUAGCAAAACAGGAUUAGAUACCCUGGUAGUCCACGCCGUAAACGAUGAAUGCUAAGUGUUGGAGGGUUUCCGCCCUUCAGUGCUGCAGCUAACGCAAUAAGCAUUCCGCCUGGGGAGUACGACCGCAAGGUUGAAACUCAAAGGAAUUGACGGGGGCCCGCACAAGCGGUGGAGCAUGUGGUUUAAUUCGAAGCAACGCGAAGAACCUUACCAGGGCUCAAACGACGGAUGAAUACUUUUGAAAGGAGGUAGUCCUUCGGGACAUCCGUCGAGGUGCUGCAUGGUUGUCGUCAGCUCGUGCCGUGAGGUGUCGGCUUAAGUGCCAUAACGAGCGCAACCCCCAUCGCCAGUUGCCAACAGGUAAAGCUGGGAACUCUGGCGAGACUGCCGGCGCAAGCUGUGAGGAAGGCGGGGAUGACGUCAAAUCAGCACGGCCCUUACGUCCGGGGCGACACACGUGUUACAAUGGCAGGUACAGAGAGAUGCGACACGGCGACGUGGAGCGGAACUGUCAAAACCUGUCUCAGUUCGGAUCGGAGUCUGCAACCCGACUCCGUGAAGCUGGAUUCGCUAGUAAUCGCGCAUCAGCCAUGGCGCGGUGAAUACGUUCCCGGGCCUUGUACACACCGCCCGUCA